rnacentral:rRNA from 1 species
AUACAACUUUCAACAACGGAUCUCUUGGCUCUCGCAUCGAUGAAGAACGCAGCGAAAUGCGAUAAGUAAUGUGAAUUGCAGAAUUCAGUGAAUCAUCGAAUCUUUGAACGCAUCUUGCGCUCCUUGGUAUUCCGAGGAGCAUGCCUGUUUGAGUGUCAUUAAAUUCUG